rnacentral:rRNA from 1 species
UACAGAGGUCCCGAGCGUUGUUCGGAUUCAUUGGGCGUAAAGGGUGCGUAGGUGGCGCUGUAAGUGGGGUGUGAAAUCCCGGGGCUUAACCCCGGGACUGCAUUCCAUACUGCGGUGCUUGAGGACUGGAGAGGAGACUGGAAUUUACGGUGUAGCAGUGAAAUGCGUAGAGAUCGUAAGGAAGACCAGUGGCGAAGGCGGGUCUCUGGACAGUUCCUGACGCUGAGGCGCGAAAGCGUGGGGAGCAAACGGG